rnacentral:rRNA from 1 species
UACGUAGGGUGCGAGCGUUGUCCGGAUUUAUUGGGCGUAAAGAGCUCGUAGGCGGCUCGUUGCGUCGGCUGUGAAAACCCGCAGCUCAACUGUGGGCUUGCAGCCGAUACGGGCGGGCUGGAGUUCGGUAGGGGAGACUGGAAUUCCUGGUGUAGCGGUGAAAUGCGCAGAUAUCAGGAGGAACACCGGUGGCGAAGGCGGGUCUCUGGGCCGAUACUGACGCUGAGGAGCGAAAGCGUGGGGAGCGAACAGG